rnacentral:lncRNA from 1 species
ACUUGUUAAAUGUGCUUUCCUGCUUCCUAUUCUUGCAGAUCAGCCUUGAGUGAAAUUUGACAGAAGAUGUCCCCACAGUUUGCUCUGUGGAAGUGUAUGCCCCAUGGGAUCCUCCUUGCCUCACUCUUGAUAGUCAGCUGGGGCCAAUAUGAUGAUGAUUGUAAACUAGCUAGGGGAGGACCACCAGCUACCAUUGUGGCCAUUGAUGAAGAGAGUCGG